GUUGGCAUUAACAGCUGCUUUCUUUGGAAUAAUUGGGUGGCUCUGAAAAGAGCCUUUGGGUUUCCAAACGGGCAGGCACGGAGAAGUUAGGCCCUCUCGCCGCGGAUGCGGCGGGCAAGCUGGAUGUCCUUGGGCAUGAUGGUGACGCGCUUGGCGUGGAUGGCGCAGAGGUUGGUGUCCUCGAAGAGCCCCACCAGGUAGGCCUCGCACGCCUCCUGCAGCGCCAUGACGGCCGAGCUCUGGAAGCGCAGGUCGGUCUUGAAGUCCUGCGCGAUCUCGCGCACCAGGCGCUGGAACGGCAGCUUGCGGAUCAGCAGCUCGGUGGACUUCUGGUAGCGGCGGAUCUCGCGCAGCGCCACGGUGCCGGGCCGGUAGCGGUGCGGCUUCUUGACGCCGCCCGUGGCCGGCGCGCUCUUGCGGGCCGCCUUGGUGGCCAGCUGCUUGCGGGGCGCCUUGCCGCCGGUCGACUUGCGGGCCGUCUGCUUCGUGCGGGCCAUGGUAGGACUUUGGGAGGGACGUCUAGAAGUGAGCCGCCGGCUGCCGGUGCUCUCAUUUAUAAAGGCGAAGU
rnacentral:lncRNA from 1 species